rnacentral:lncRNA from 1 species
GCAUGUAUUUACUUUCUGGCACUGAAAGAAAUUUUGUAUAUUUCCUGCCCUUUCCUAGAAUCAGCCAUUUUUCCAAGGAGUCCUGGUUGCUUUUAUUUGUGAGUGGUAUUAGAAACUAGGAUGUGGGCACUAUGGGUGCUUGUUGCUAUUGGUGUGUUGUUGUUUCUAGGCCUUCUUAGCUGAAAAAUGGAAAACAAAUGUGUUUAUACUAACUCGUGUACAUACUUGUAAAUGUUUUUGUAUAUAACCAUUUAUAUCUGUAUUAAGUCAUGUUAUUGGGUACAUACAGAUUUAUAAUUGCUAUAUCUUCCUUGUUGGUUUUCCCUUUUGUUAUUAGGACAUGUUUCUUUUCAUCUCUAGAAAUAUUCUUGUCUUAAUGUCUACUUUGUUAUAACUACACAAGCUAAUUAGUUACAUAUUUUAAAAACUGCUCUUUACCAUUUGCAUUUUUUUAAAACAGAUUUUAAUGCUGUAUUGAAAUUCUUCCUCUUUUUCUCUAUUUUCUUUCAUAGUUUUAAAAUAUUUUUCUUGCUGGCAGCCACCAGAAACUGGAAGAGGCAAGGAAUAGAUUCUCUCCUAGAGCCUCCAGAGGGAGCACAUCUUUGCUGACACCUUGAUUUUUGCCCAGUGAACAGAUGUGGAACCCCUGGCCUCCAGAACUAUGAGAGAAUAAAUUCCUCUUGUUUUAGCCAA